CCUACGGGGGACAGCAGUGGGGAAUAUUGCACAAUGGGGGAAACCCUGAUGCAGCGACGCCGCGUGAGUGAAGAAGUAUUUCGGUACGUAAAGCUCUAUCAGCAGGGAAGAAAAUGACGGUACCUGACUAAGAAGCCCUGGCUAACUACGUGCCAGCAGCCGCGGUAAUACGUAGGGGGCAAGCGUUAUCCGGAUUUACUGGGUGUAAAGGGAGCGUAGACGGCAGCGCAAGUCUGGAGUGAAAUCCCAUGGCUUAACCAUGGAACUGCUUUGGAAACUGUGCAGCUAGAGUGCAGGAGAGGUAAGCGGAAUUCCUAGUGUAGCGGUGAAAUGCGUAGAUAUUAGGAGGAACACCAGUGGCGAAGGCGGCUUACUGGACUGUAACUGACGUUGAGGCUCGAAAGCGUGGGGAGCAAACAGGAUUAGAUACCCCAGUAGUC
rnacentral:rRNA from 1 species